GACGAACGCUGGCGGCGUGCUUAACACAUGCAAGUCGAACGGAAAGGCCCUGCUUUUGUGGGGUGCUCGAGUGGCGAACGGGUGAGUAACACGUGAGUAACCUGCCCUUGACUUUGGGAUAACUUCAGGAAACUGGGGCUAAUACCGGAUAGGAGCUCCUGCUGCAUGGUGGGGGUUGGAAAGUUUCGGCGGUUGGGGAUGGACUCGCGGCUUAUCAGCUUGUUGGUGGGGUAGUGGCUUACCAAGGCUUUGACGGGUAGCCGGCCUGAGAGGGUGACCGGCCACAUUGGGACUGAGAUACGGCCCAGACUCCUCGGGAGGCAGCAGUGGGGAAUAUUGCACAAUGGGCGGAAGCCUGAUGCAGCACCGCCGCGUGCGGGAUGACGGCCUUCGGGUUGUAAACCGCUUUCGCCUGUGACGAAGCGUGAGUGACGGUAAUGGGUAAAGAAGCACCGGCUAACUACGUG
rnacentral:rRNA from 1 species